rnacentral:lncRNA from 1 species
AUGGUGUGUGGAGGCUGUUACCCGCCGCUAGCUCGCAGCUGGCAGAGAAGCGGAGGGGCCACCGGACGAGGGCGCGGCCGGCCAGGUUUCUGUCUCGCCAUCAGAGGCUGCUGCGUGGCCGCGGCCGGGGGCGAGCCUCGCCGCGGUGCUCUGGACACGCGCCAUCGCCACCGCCAUGACCGCCUCAGGACGGCCGUCGGCUACGGCAAAGUGGAAGCCAGGGGGCUGUGGGGCAAGUGUCUGGCUCAGCAGUUAAAGACACAGCUUGGGACGCCUGGGGUUGAGUUCCUGACACCAGCUUCCCAGAAAUGGCACGUGAUGCCUCAGUUCUCCUUCUGGUUUUUCAAUGGCAUUGUAAUGAACCUGCUUUUCUUGUUCGGAGAAGUUAUUCGGAGGACCACUGCGGAUUCAAAGGUACGCACGUGUGACACUGGGGCACGUGUUGCCAAGCUGACAUCAUCCUACCUCGCAUCUCUGCCUACACCAGCCUCUGCAGCUUUGCUAACCCAAUGA